GCGGGGGGUGUGGGUGGGGGAGGCGCAAGAAGAUACCCGGCUGUCAGGGAGGGACAGACGCCAGGGGCUCAGCAUCCAGCAGGGACGGUCAGUUGGGGCCCCAAACGGGCAGGGGUUGAGUGACUGGAGGUUUUUUCCUCAAUGGAAUCCCCAACCCCCUGGACACGGAAUGAGACCCAGGCGUGGAACCUCCGACCAGGCCAGCCCAGGACACGUCCCGCCGGCGCUGGCCGGGCAGGGUCCCCGCUAGAGGGGCGGGGAUACGCGGGAGGGACGUGGCAAAAACACUGUGCUCGGCCAGCUGCCCCGGAGGCCACAG